rnacentral:rRNA from 1 species
CUGCUAUCGGAUUGAUACUAAGCCAUGCGAGUCAUUGUAGCAAUACAAGGCAGACGGCUCAGUAACGCGUAGUCAACCUACCCUAUGGACGGGAAUAACCUCGGGAAACUGAGUAUAAUGCCCGAUAGAACAUUAUGCCUGGAAUGGUUUAUGUUCCAAAUGAUUUAUCGCCAUAGGAUGGGACUGCGGCCUAUCAGUUUGUUGGUGAGGUAAUGGCCCACCAAGACUAUUACAGGUACGGGCUCUGAGAGGAGUAGCCCGGAGAUGGGUACUGAGACACGGACCCAGGCCCUAUGGGGCGCAGCAGGCGAGAAAACUUUGCAAUGUGCGAAAGCACGACAAGGUUAAUCCGAGUGGUUUCUGCUAAAGGAACCUUUUGUUAGUCCUAAAAACACUAACGAAUAAGGGGUGGGCAAGUUCUGGUGUCAGCCGCCGCGGUAAAACCAGCACCUCAAGUGGUCAGGAUGAUUAUUGGGCCUAAAGCAUCCGUAGCCUGCUCUGUAAGUUUUCGGUUAAAUCUGUAUGCUCAACAUACAGGCCGCCGGGAAUACUGCAGAGCUAGGGAGUGGGAGAGGUAGACGGUACUCGGGAGGAAGUGGUAAAAUGCUUUGAUCUCUCGAUGACCACCUGUGGCGAAGGCGGUCUACCAGAACACGUCCGACGGUGAGGGAUGAAAGCUGGGGGAGCAAACCGGAUUAGAUACCCGGGUAGUCCCAGCUGUAAACUAUGCAAACUCAGUGAUGCAUUGGCUUGUGGCCAAUGCAGUGUUGCAGGGAAGCCGUUAAGUUUGCCGCCUGGGAAGUACGUACGCAAGUAUGAAACUUAAAGGAUUGGCGGGGAGCACCACAAGGGUGAAGCCUGCGGUUCAAUUGGA